rnacentral:rRNA from 1 species
UACGUAGGGUGCAAGCGUUGUCCGGAAUUAUUGGGCGUAAAGAGCUCGUAGGCGGUUCGUCGCGUCGGCUGUGAAAUCCCGAGGCUUAACCUCGGGUCUGCAGUCGAUACGGGCUAGCUAGAGUGUGGUAGGGGAGAUCGGAAUUCCUGGUGUAGCGGUGAAAUGCGCAGAUAUCAGGAGGAACACCGGUGGCGAAGGCGGAUCUCUGGGCCAUUACUGACGCUGAGGAGCGAAAGCGUGGGGAGCGAACAGG